rnacentral:ncRNA from 1 species
UUGUCUGGUUAAUUCCGAUAACAAACGAGACUCUAGUCAAUCAAAUACGUGCGUGGUCCUUUGCACCUUGCACCCCUCUUAGAAGGAGAAGCGGCUCCUAUACUUCGUCUCUCCUUAUUAUAUAUAUAUGGCCUACUGUUAGUCGCGCGUGCUCAAAGCGCGAGCUAGUCGCUUUGAAUGAAGUCACGGCGGCUACACGAGCGCUCGUGCAGCGAGUGCUCUAGUCAAGGCAGUCAAGGCUGGCCGCUCGCGCUAACACAGCCUUCGCGGUUAGUUCAUGCUAGGCUGAGACGAAGUAUAGCUAUUGGCGACGUGAGCUAUCAAAAGCGUCGCUGUGGUCGGCCCACCACAAUUGGCCGAAUGCUGACUAUGACGUCAGCAAAGGAUAUCAUAUCGACACAAAUAAGAGGAAUGUAAGAGCUUACAUUUUGACGGUGUGGGCAGUGUUACUUUGAGAGCGCUAUGAUUUCAGGCUUUCCCCAUGCUCAUUACAAACACCAUUGAACUUGCUCUUCACAAGGUAAUGACGUCACGAAAGGUAACCAAACGAGGGCGCCACCAAAACAUCUCGCCGCUAAUAGCCGCACGAAACAGAGCAAUAAAUGGUCCGUGAUUCCCUUAGAUGUCCGGGGCCGCACGCGCGCUACACUGAAGGAAGCAGCGUGUUUUUAUCCCUCCCUGUGAAGACAGUAAGCUUAGAAAAAGUUCAUUGAGCAAAUACAGAGG